UACGUAGGGGGCAAGCGUUGUCCGGAUUUAUUGGGCGUAAAGAGCGUGUAGGCGGCCAGGUAGGUCAGCUGUGAAAACUCGAGGCUCAACCUCGAGACGCCGGUUGAAACCAUCUGGCUAGAGUCCGGAAGAGGAGAGUGGAAUUCCUGGUGUAGCGGUGAAAUGCGCAGAUAUCAGGAAGAACACCUAUGGCGAAGGCAGCUCUCUGGGACGGUACUGACGCUGAGACGCGAAAGCGUGGGGAGCGAACAGG
rnacentral:rRNA from 1 species